GCCCUUGUAGCUUAGAGGUAGAGCAUCAGUCUCAUAGCUUAAGCAACUACGAGAGCGAUCUGAGUACGCUGGUUCGAUUCCAGCCAAAGGCA